GCUAAAAAAGGCUUGCCAUCCUUCCGGUAAUGACUUUCUUUUUUUACAUAUCUGAUUUGUGUAGCACCACACAUCUCUCCAAACUACUUUUCAUAUUAAAUUUUGUGCAGUACUAUGGAUUUUUCGAACUAUUUUCUCAUAUCUGAGUUGCAUAGCAUCAUGUGUUUUUUCCAGUGACUCAGAUUUGAUUUGCAUACUUCCAUUCGUCUUUUCGAUGACUCCCCAAAUCUGAUUUGCA
rnacentral:misc_RNA from 1 species